rnacentral:rRNA from 1 species
GAUGAACGCUGGCGGCGUGCUUAACACAUGCAAGUCGAACGAAGCACUUUAUUUGAUUUCCUUCGGGACUGAUUAUUUUGUGACUGAGUGGCGGACGGGUGAGUAACGCGUGGGUAACCUGCCUUGUACAGGGGGAUAACAGUUGGAAACGGCUGCUAAUACCGCAUAAGCGCACAGCAUCGCAUGAUGCAGUGUGAAAAACUCCGGUGGUAUAAGAUGGACCCGCGUUGGAUUAGCUAGUUGGUGAGGUAACGGCCCACCAAGGCGACGAUCCAUAGCCGACCUGAGAGGGUGACCGGCCACAUUGGGACUGAGACACGGCCCAAACUCCUACGGGAGGCAGCAGUGGGGAAUAUUGCACAAUGGGCGAAAGCCUGAUGCAGCGACGCCGCGUGAGCGAAGAAGUAUUUCGGUAUGUAAAGCUCUGUCAGCAGGGAAGAUAAUGACGGUACCUGACUAAGAAGCACCGGCUAAAUACGUG